CUACGGGGCGCUCCAGUGGGGAAUAUUGCACAAUGGGCGCAAGCCUGAUGCAGCAACGCCGCGUGAGGGAUGAAGGCCUUCGGGUUGUAAACCUCUUUUAGCAGGGAAGAAGCGAAAGUGACGGUACCUGCAGAAAAAGCACCGGCUAACUACGGUGCCAGCAGCCGCGGUACUACGUAGGGUGCAAGCGUUGUCCGGAAUUAUUGGGCGUAAAGAGCUCGUAGGCGGUUUGUCACGUCUGCUGUGAAAAUCCAAGGCUCAACCUUGGACUUGCAGUGGGUACGGGCAGGCUAGAGUGCGGGAGGGGAGAUGGGAAUUCCUGGUGUAGCGGUGGAAUGCGCAGAUAUCAGGAGGAACACCAAUGGCGAAGGCACAUCUCUGGGCCGUAACUGACGCUGAGGAGCGAAAGCGUGGGGAGCGAACAGGAUUAGAUACCCGGGUAGUC
rnacentral:rRNA from 1 species